rnacentral:lncRNA from 1 species
AUGCCUGUUUUUCUCCCGAGUACUGAGGAGUUAAAACUUUUAUCUGAGAAGCAAGGUGAUGGUUUUGUCCUACACUACCUUACUCCUCGUUGCGUGUAUACAUUUUUGGUGGAUUUAGAGGUGGUGUGGUUGUCUUGGAGCUCUAAUAUUCCACUGGAAUCUGAACAUUAUGACAACUCAAAGACACUGCACAAGUCACUAAGAAUGGAUGGCUCACAGGCUAACACCAAGACCAGCACCACAACACCCUUGGCCAGGCAUUACAAACCCAAGCAAGGAAGCGCAGCACACCUGAACUGCAGGCCUGGCUGGGGAUUUCCCUGCCUGUCCCCAGACCAGAGAGGUGGCUGUGUGGCAACAUCAGUGAGCAUGUACAGGGGCUCUCAGAAGACAACCUCAAGGUCCUUUGCAAGUGAGCUAUCUGAAGGGAACCACUGGUGACAACACACAAAGUUCCAUCUUAUUCUUCCUAAUAUACCUCGCAAAGAUUAUCCAGCAUAUCCGUAUGUCACUUUCCCCUCAUAACAACCUCAUUGCUAACCUGAAUUGAGCCUCUAGUCUGAAUACAUUCAGUGAUUGCUGAAGCAAUUGCUCAUUCAUCAAAUAGUAGAACAAACUUCCCUGAAAUUCAUGAAUAAAUGCUUUUUCGUGUUCA